rnacentral:lncRNA from 1 species
UAAGCUGCUUCCAGUGAUAGGUGAAGUCUUGCAACGGCGUGGCCGGUGGUGCUAUCUGAAAAUCAUACGCGACUGAACAUUUAAUAACGUGAGACAUGAGACAGAAAUCUAUAUGAAACUAAACGUUACAUAUAACGUUGCUUCGAGAUAUACAUAAGUACUAAAUUACGUAACAAGAAAAAAGGAAUCUGCAAUUUCGAUGUCGCAUUACGGUAUUAUGUUGCAACCAAUCGUUAUAAACAAGGAUAAGGCGUAUAAGGAAAAUAAAUAACACGUGCGUUAAGGAAUACAAUUGGAGGCCC